AUUUGGUUUACUAAGUAUUCUUAGUGGCGGACGGGUGAGUAACACGUGAGCAACCUGCCUUUGAGAGAGGGAUAGCUUCUGGAAACGGAUGGUAAUACCUCAUAACGUAGUUUUACCGCAUGAUGAGACUACCAAAGAUUUAUCACUCAAAGAUGGGCUCGCGUCUGAUUAGCUAGAUGGUGAGGUAACGGCCCACCAUGGCGACGAUCAGUAGCCGGACUGAGAGGUUGAACGGCCACAUUGGGACUGAGACACGGCCCAGACUCCUACGGGAGGCAGCAGUGGGGAAUAUUGCACAAUGGGGGAAACCCUGAUGCAGCGAUGCCGCGUGGAGGAAGAAGGUUUUCGGAUUGUAAACUCCUGUCUUAAAGGACGAUAAUGAC
rnacentral:rRNA from 1 species